AUUGAACGCUGGCGGCAGGCCUAACACAUGCAAGUCGAACGGUAACAGGAAGAAGCUUGCUUCUUUGCUGACGAGUGGCGGACGGGUGAGUAAUGUCUGGGAAACUGCCUGAUGGAGGGGGAUAACUACUGGAAACGGUAGCUAAUACCGCAUAACGUCGCAAGACCAAAGAGGGGGACCUUCGGGCCUCUUGCCAUCGGAUGUGCCCAGAUGGGAUUAGCUAGUAGGUGGGGUAACGGCUCACCUAGGCGACGAUCCCUAGCUGGUCUGAGAGGAUGACCAGCCACACUGGAACUGAGACACGGUCCAGACUCCUACGGGAGGCAGCAGUGGGGAAUAUUGCACAAUGGGCGCAAGCCUGAUGCAGCCAUGCCGCGUGGAUGAAGAAGGCCUUCGGGUUGUAAAGUACUUUCAGCGGGGAGGAAGGGAGUAAAGUUAAGACCUUUGCUCAUUGACGUUACCCGCAGAAGAAGCACCGGCUAACUCCGU
rnacentral:rRNA from 1 species